GUCUGGGAUAGCUCAGUUGGCAGAGCAUGAAACUGUUAAUCUCAAGGCAGUGGGUUCAAGCCCCAUGCUGGACA